rnacentral:tRNA from 1 species
GCGCCUGUAGCUCAAGUGGAUAGAGCGUCUGCCUUCUAAGCAGAAUGUUGCCCGUUCGAGUCGGGCCAGGCGCG